CUUUGAUUUUGGGAAUUGCUGAAGUGAGUUGUUGGGGGCAGGAGGGCUGCAGAACGCAGGCUUGUGUCUGUAUGAUGCAUAUACCACUGCAUGCCUAGUCUGAGCGAUGGAACAGGGUGUUGAUUGACUCCCUCACUUCACGGGAAUUUGCCUCAGAGAUCUCCAGGAAACUCUCAUGGAGAUACUGGGCAAUCCGCUGCUGCAGGUUCUUUGGCAGAGCUGCUUUGGUUUUUGCCCCAUUAAGGGUAAAUUUCCCACGCCACUCUGCCGUCAUUGGAAUGGGGAGAACCGUUGUUGCACACAGGCAAGCCACAUAAGGGCCAGGAUGGAAGCCGCAGUCUUGGAGAAGACCCUCCCUUGAUUCCCUGCUCACCCUCAGCAGCGAGAUCUUCCAUAAUGAACACAGCCUGUGGAAAAUGUGGGGACAGGAAUGAUUAUGAUGUUCUCCCUACAGUGCCCAAGAGCCACAUGCCCAGUGUAUAGUACAGUCCUGGAACACUGAUUUCCUCUGCCCCUGUGGUUACUCACCAUUUUGGGGGUCUUGUGGCUCAUGUGUGCUUGCCUGGGGUCAGCCAGUUCGUGACAGAUAUGACCUUGGGAGCCCAGCCCCCUCUUUGUUAUCGCCGGCUGAAUGGCUGUGAAGAAUUAGAAAGCGGCCACGAAGAACUAAAGAGGACUUUCUGCGUGAGGUCAUGAUGCACUCCCCCACUGAGAAACAAGAACUGAAGGGGUGGUGGGACAGGGAGAAGAGGGACCAAAAGGAGAACAUGGUGCACCAGAACGAAGCCACAGAGCAGCUCUUAAACGUUAUGGAACGCCAAGCAGACAGGCUGCUGGCGCGGCUAGCACUGCAAACCGAGCAGCUCCGCGCCCACCCUCCCUCCCCUGCAGCCGCUGUCGCAAAACUCUUUCCCAUGAGCCCCCCAAACACUGCACUCCACACCUGUCCCUCUGCAGUUUAGCCCUGCUGAAGUACAGUACCGCUGCACUGUACUCCAGAGGGGAAGGUUGGAUAUGAUACUGGACAUACACAAACCUUUAACCCUCUCGGGACCCCACCUCCUCCUGGGACCCUCCCUUCCCCCAUCCUCCUCAGUGUUGAUGUGUUUUUUGUUUGUCUCUCUCCUCCGUUCGUUGGUUUUUAAUAAAAUAAUUGUUUGGGUUUGAAA